CUUUGCGGCACGAGUUGUAGAUUGCAGGUUGGAGUCUGUGUGGAAGGCGGUGUCCAAGUCCCUUGGAACAGGGCGCCCAGGAGGGUGAGAGCCCCGUGGGAUGCCGGCGGAAGCAGUGAGGCCCUUCUGACGAGUCGAGUUGUUUGGGAAUGCAGCUCCAAGCGGGUGGUAAAUUCCAUCUAAGGCUAAAUACUGGCGAGAGACCGAUAGCGAACAAGUACUGUGAAGGAAAGAUGAAAAGCACUUUGAAAAGAGAGUGAAACAGCACGUGAAAUUGUUGAAAGGGAAGGGUAUUGCGCCCGACAUGGGGAUUGCGCACCGCUGCCUCUCGUGGGCGGCGCUCUGGGCUUUCCCUGGGCCAGCAUCGGUUCUUGCUGCAGGAGAAGGGGUUCUGGAACGUGGCUCUUCGGAGUGUUAUAGCCAGGGCCAGAUGCUGCGUGCGGGGACCGAGGACUGCGGCCGUG
rnacentral:rRNA from 1 species